GAUGAACGCUGGCGGCGUGCCUAAUACUUGCAAGUCGAGCGAACCACUUCGGUGGUGAGCGGCGAACGGGUGAGUAACACGUGGGUGAUCUGCCCUGCACUUCGGGAUAAGCCUGGGAAACUGGGUCUAAUACCGGAUAGGACCAUCGUUUAGUGUCGGUGGUGGAAAGUUUUUCGGUGCAGGAUGAGCUCGCGGCCUAUCAGCUUGUUGGUGGGGUAAUGGCCUACCAAGGCGUUAACGGGUAGCCGGCCUGAGAGGGUGGACGGCCACAUUGGGACUGAGACACGGCCCAGACUCCUACGGGAGGCAGCAGUGGGGAAUAUUGCACAAUGGGCGCAAGCCUGAUGCAGCGACGCCGCGUGGGGGAUGAAGGCCUUCGGGUUGUAAACUCCUUUCAACCAUGACGAAGCAUUAUGUGACGGUAGUGGUAGAAGAAGCACCGGCUAACUACGUGCCAGCCGCCGCAGUAACAC
rnacentral:rRNA from 1 species